UCCUUCUGAGUCGUCGUCUCUUCCGCGAAUCAGAACUGUCGAAUUUGAACCUCAAGCCGCCAUCUUUGUUAAUCGAUCGAAGGAUCGAUUAUGGCACUUAUUGUGACAGGACGUGUUGACAGCUUCUUCUACUUUUAGAGGUAUUUAGUAUGAGAUUGCAUUAAGAGGGAGAGAGAAGAGUAGGAAUGGCGCGAAAACGCCAGAUUCGAAAUAGCUAGCGCUCUCUAUACCCCACGAGGCAAAUUGAAACACGGGGAUACAGGGAACAACUGACUGCACAAGUUUGCUGAAGCUGCUGGACCUUCCCUGAUGACAUUCGAGAUGACCUUCUUGAUGACUUCCCUCUUCUUCUAUAUGGCAAUCUCCUACCUGGUUGUUGGCAUCCUCCUACCUGGUUGUUGAGCAUCCUACUACUUGACUGUUGCAAGCAGAUUUUUGCUACUAUCGGUGAGUUGCAUGCUUUAUGGUUCCUCCAGUGCCCAAUCAUACCGUAGGACGAAUGGUCCGAAUCGGUACGGGUUACUGGUUGUAUACGUAGUUUUGGUGAGCAUAGUGACCAUGGGUAUGAUUAUACUCAUGAGUAGUAACACUUUUAUUGUGUUUCAUUUUCUUAGUUCAGGCUAGGUCUUCUUGUACUUCGCGUUUAUUAAUACAAAUAUUAUUUUAAAUCUGUAUAUUUGAAUGGAUAUAUAAAAAAUAUGUAUAUUA